GGUCACGGGCUUGGGCCUAAUCAUCUAGUAUAACUGACUGCCACGUAGAACGGAUAGCAAAACAGAGAAGUUGUCAGCGAGUGAAACUCUUGUGAGGUCUGGGGGAGAGACAAGAAGCAAGCAGAAAGGAACCAGCUCUGACACGGACUUGGUUGUGAUCGUAUCACCUGCCCUCUGAAGGCCUGACAACCCUGUGCAAACAUUAAUGAGCUAAGCUUCUUGACAUUCCUAUGAGGUAUUCACAAUUCACACUGAUUGGUCACC